AUAUUCAAGUAAAAAUCAUAACCAAUUAUAAUGUGUUUCCAAUAGCGUUUAAAUUAAAACUAAAUCAUAUUAUUUAUUUUUAUACCACUUUAUAAUGUAUAAUUUAUUUUUUACUUUCUACAUUUAUAUUUUUAUAUAAUAUUCACAAAUUGUAAGCAUGUAGGAUAACACAUUUUUAUAACUAACAUUUAUAAAUAACAGCGUUGCAAAAUAGGCAACCUCGCAUAAACGAAUAAAGAAUAAACAGCUCGUGUAAUGAGAUUUUUAUUUUUUUUUUGCUUUCUGAAGUUGCAAAAUAACAUAUUCUGACGGCUAAACACCUAAUUUAUUGAUCAUCUGUUGGAAACGACGAAAAAAAAUCAUUCAAUCUGUUAACAUUACUGCAACUCCAGCAAAUCUCCAGUAGAUGACAGACUCUGCCUUUCUCUGCUGUUCAUUUUAUACAGUUCAAAAAGGAGACGAGACAUUACGCAAAGAGUAUUCUGUUUUAUUCAAAUCUACAAGAGGGUUAUAUGCAAUUUAUUUACAUUUUUUUAUUAGCUAAAAUACAGGUCCAUUCUCAGCUACAUACAGCUUAUUAAAAAUAUAUAAAUGCAUGCUAGUUACAGGUAUUCUAUUUACAUUGUGCUGAAUUGUAUGUCCUGGCUAGAAUACAACUUCAUGUGUGUUUUACAUACAGAUGAGCUACACAGAACAUUGAAUUUCAGGAAAGAUUCAAACAUCAAAUCCCCAUCCAAAAAAGAAGCAGUGCAUUUGAAAAGAAAAUAGGAAAAUAUCAGCAUUUCAGAUUCUUUUGAGCCUUAAACUUAACAAAUAAUAAAAAAAAAGUCAGUAGUUGUGCAAUCUAGAUCUGUUUCUAAAGGACACUUUUAAUUGGAUUUCAAAUUAGUUUUAAUGUAUGCAUGUACUUCUUCAACAGCAAUGAUUUAGGUAUUGUGUUCACAUGAAACACUUCACAGCAUAGCAGAGACCAUAUUUACACUGUGUUACUGACCCAAAUUCACAACGUAUCCUUUUCAUAAAAAUAUGCAAUCAUUUUCUUUUCUUGAUCAAAUGUUUCCUGCUCAUAUUUUUCUCAUAAACUUCGGACACACAAAAAGUAACACUCUGCCAAAAGCAACCUGCUGCAUCCAGUCAAAAAAGAAGAAGAAAACAUCCAAUACGAAUGUGAUUUCAGUCCAGCACUGUAAAAGUGCUGUCAUAAAUAUACAAAUGCAAUGAAAUAUCCACAACUUUAAUACAAAAAAAAAUAAGUAGAUCGCCAGAGGGAUUUCGCCAAUGCUCAAAAAAGUUUCGAUCUAAACAAACAAUAAAAAAAUAUGGCUUAUCGCGUCUUAAAAAAAAGAGCUUUGUGUGAAUGCAGCAAGCAUCUUUUGAGACAGUUCUUGUGUACACAGAUAAUAGACCUGAAUUGUAACACAAAACUCUACUUUCAUUCAUAAGACUUUGCUAUGUACAGUACGCGCAUAAAAAAUGUUGCCUGCAUGGGAGUCUCAUGAACUUGGCUAAUGGAACAGAAUUAGAAGUUUUACACAAAAUUCAGCUAAAUAAGCGUAUUGUUAAUAAUGGAAACCUUCCAAUUUAUCCAGGUUUUAUCAACACAUACGUUAUGGUCCGAUUCAAUUCAGUAUUCACUGAAAUGUUAAGCUUUGUAAAAAAAAAAAAAAGGAAUAAUGGAAGGAGGUACUUUAUAAACUCCAAUAGCAGAUUAUGCCAUUAACAUGUUAGUUUCUCACCUCACACUGCUAACUGGAAUCAGGCUGAACAGAAAACAUGCAUCACUUCCAUACUUGCAUUCAGCAUAUUAAGUAUUUAAAACCUGAAAUUGUUCUCAUAUAGUUCUUUUCAUAUAGGACUCAAUCUGUAGACCUAAAACAGAUUAAAAUGAAUAGUUUACUCUAAAUCUGUUCCAAUGAAGAAACAAAUUCAUCUACGUCUCGAAUGGCUUGAGGGCCCUGCUGGUCAUUGACACAGGAGCUACAUAGGGCCUUUGAACUGGUUCCCAGAGAGAUGUUGGCGGAUGGAGGGUUUGGAUCCUGCCGCAUCACCGAGCUUACGCCACACAACCUGAACACACAAAGCAAACACACAGUCCUCCUCGUAGUCCUCUGGGAGCUUCCUGUCCAGGUUUUCGUGGACUUCUAAUACCUAUAAAGAAAAGGAACAGAGGGUAUCCGGUGACGGGGGACAGCAGAUCACCUCCUGGCAUCCGCGUAGAUCGCUGUAGACAGAUGGACACACAUUCGUCACAAUCAAAAAUCACUCAUACUGCUCUCUCAGUUUACCAGAGGAGAUCCGAGCACUGGAAAAGCCCAUGGCUGUUCCUCUGAGUCAACUCAGGCUUGAAAUGGGUUAAAGCAUCUCAUUAUAACUCAUCUCUGCUUGGACCCCCUUCAUGGGUACGCAUCAACAAAGAGUUCUUUCAGUGCACAGGGUCUGGUGAGCCCCUGUUUAGACACAGCCCUUUGAGUCCCAUUCUAGCGUUAAAUCCACAACAAUUGAGCUGGCAUUUCAACACCAGGGUCGGGAGAGGACCCCUGGAUGGAAACUGUGGCUCGCUUUUGGCCUGGGAGAACAGGACUGUGAUGUUCACUCGCAGUUGCCAGCAGGUUUAUAAAGGGCUAGAGCCGUGGGGAUUUUACCCUGGACUGACCCGAGUACAUCCUGAAACGAUGGCCGCUGUCAUGCAUCGCCCCGGCAGUCUGAUUAGAGAAGCCCACAAUUCAUUCUGCAUGGAUUCAUUUGCCAUGCAGCGCUCGAAUUACCUGGAUUAUUUUAAUAGCUAAUGCCAUCUAUUCAGGACCUUAAAAUUCUCAUAUGAUAAAGUUGUAGGAACUAUAUUGCAACAUGACAUUAAAUGUAAGCGAUUUAAUUCCCAUAAAAUGUAAUUGUAUAAAAUAUAAUGCAAAUUAAUACUAUUAAAUAAUAAUAAGAAAUUGUGAUGAGUGGGACAGGGCCGAGAGCCGUGGGAACGGAGCGAGGCUGGUGGAGUGAUUGAAGAUGAGUGACACCUGCACCACUCACCGGUCUCGAGUCCCACGGUGGAGCUCCGGAAGGAUAAAGGGAGGAGUAACGACAGUGAAGAACGAGAGAGGACCAGGCCUGGGUUUUAUUUUGUGUUUUGGUUUUGUUUGUGCUGUUUGGUGUCUGUUUUAUUAAUAAAGUUAUUGCUUGAAUGUU